CCCUUAGACGUUCUGGGCCGCACGCGCGCUACACUGACCAGUGCAACAAGCAUCCGUCCUUGGCCGACAGGCCCGGGCAAUCUUUGAACGCUGGUCGUGAUGGGGAUAGACUUUUGCAAUUUUUGGUCUUCAACGAGGAAUUCCUAGUAAACGCAAGUCAUCAACUUGCAUUGAUUACGUCCCUGCCCUUUGUACACACCGCCCGUCGCACCUACCGAUUGAGUGAUCCGGUGAAUAAUUCGGACUGCAGCAGUGUUCAGUUCCUGAACGUUGCAGCGGAAAGUUUAGUGAACCUUAUCACUUAGAGGAAGGAGAAGUCGUANCA
rnacentral:rRNA from 1 species